rnacentral:tRNA from 1 species
GCUCGUGCCAGGAAUGACCUCAGCCUGCACAGCAGGGCUUUACCUAUGAAAAUCUGUGCUCUGAGCUAGAUCACAACAGGACUCUCCCUUCUCCAAACUCUUCUCCUUCGAAGUACCCCCUCCUGUACCCUCUAGAUUAAUGCCCACAUCACAAUUUCCCACCCAAGCCUAGUACCAAAAGUCAAGAGAACAGUGCCAUUGAGCCUACAAGAGAGGAAUCAGUAAGUACCUUUGUCUCUUUACAUUCAUGUGGCUGUGGCUGGCAGUCCCCUUUUCUUCUCCUCUUCUCCCUAUUCUCCCACCUCCUUAGAGGCUCUGAGGGAUCCUGCUCAGGUUGAGAGCUGUGAGGCUUCUUCCAUGGGGGCUUCUUCCCAGGGAAGGCCAAGACUCUCUGGGCAAAAACCAGAGACUGGACUCUUCAUCGUGAAGGCUCUUCACUGUGUAGCUGGGACUUGGAUUUUGUCCUGCUUAAUUCAGCUGCUAUUGCCAAAUCUGAAUAUGUUUAAGAUGAAGUAGAAACUCUAGUCAAUUAUUAGAUUUCCUAGAAGAAUCUCAACUAAAACAUAUUCUGGCCUCUAGACUCAAUAACCAAUCCCUUGAUGAAUCCCAAUAAUUAUAACAACAGCUAACAUUUGCCUAGCCUUGCUUGUGUGCAAGGUACUUUUACAUAUGCUAUUUUUUUUUACAAUAUUCUAUGAUGUUUUAGUCCCAUUUAAUAGUUGAAUAAAUGGUGACUCAGAGAGAUUUUCCCAAUGACAUAAUAAGCAAGUGGUAGAACAGGAACUAAACCAAGUUCUAUUACUAGGUAGACCCAUAUAUACUCUUUUCCUCCAUAACUCUCUUCCCCAAAUCUGUCAUGCUGUUUGUCUUUAGUUUUGCAUCUCAUUUGUACCUUGAUCACUUUAUACUGAAAUGUACACAUUACAUGGUCCAAUUUCUGCUCUUUUGGUCUUAGUUCCCUCCACCCCCACAUCCCGAUGCCAGCCUCUAGGUUGAGCGGCUUCACGUGGAUUGGCAAUGAAUUGACCACUGGCCUUCCCAUCUGGAGACUCAGGUUAAGUUCUGUCUCUGUCACUAAUGAGGGAUGUGAUUUCAAAUUGGUCACCUCACUUGUCUAAGCCUUGCUAUGUGAAGCUGAUAUAUGGUUGAUCUUUGGAAUCCCUUCUAGCUUUAAAACUGUGAUUCUUUGAUGUGAUUCCCUUUUGGGGAGGGGCAGUUUCCCAAGUCAACUGGAAAUGGUUUGGCCUAUUGCCUAGUUAAUGUCACCUGGAGCUUGGGGUGGGAACAGGGAGUCAUUUAGCUAGCUACUCUAAAUAUGCUAGGAGGAACCUGUCCCCCAACUCCACCUCUGCAGAACCCUUCCUUUCUGACUUCUUUUUUCCAGCCCUCCAAUAUCAUUGUGACUCCUUUUAGGUAAGAUUAUGAGCUUCCAAAUUCCUCUGCCCUUGACUCUCAUUGACCAGUGAUUAUUGCCCAAGCCAGUACUGCACCAGACAGGCUGGCACUCCACUGAUCUCUUCAGGAUGUCUGUGAGCCUGGGCUGAAGGUUAGUCACAAUCCUCAAUGCUCAAGGAGACCCCAGGGGCCCUGCAGCUGCUCCCAGCUGUCUGCCUGAACAAUGCAGAUCCUGUCAGGUCUCCUGUUGAGCCUUCCUUCAUGGGGUAUUCAGAUUGCAGUAUUAAGUGGAGGCAUCUCAGCUGCUUCCUGUUUCUUGGGUCUCAGCAAAGAUUCCUAAACAAAGACAAUCAGCCCAGUUCUGCAUCUGACAAGAGCCCCCAGCAAUGGGGGAUGGGGGGAUGAAAGACUUUCACCAUCAUCUCAGAGCCCAAAGUCAAACUUCUCCAGUAGGAAGGGACCCCAAGGACCAAGGGCUCCAGGUCUCUGCUUCCAGUCAUACCAACCAGGCGUGAGGAUGGGAUUACAGCCCAGUUUUCAGAAAUGUAUUGGAAAGUGCCUGGUGUGGUGGCACACACCUGUAACCCCAACAGCUUGGGAGGCUGAGGUGGGAGGAUCACAAGUUCAAGGCCAACCUCAGCUAUUUAGCAGGCCCUAAGCAACUUAGCAAGAGACUAUCUCAAACUAAGAAAUAAAAAGGGCUGGGGAUGUGGCUAAGUGAUAAAGCACCCCCGGGUUCAAAUCCUAGUACCAAAGGAAAGAAAGAAAGAAACCUUUGGGAAAGUGAUUUUUGUGGACUCCUAGAUCACCCUUCUUGGUAUUUAAUGACUCAAACAGGAAUCUGCUAGCAACUAUCUUGCCCACGGUUAAACCUCUUGUACAAACUACUUAUAACAGUGUUCACUCUCCACUUUAGCAAGGGGCAUCCUUCUGCCUAUCUCCUGAGCCCAGCUAUCCCCUCCAUUAUCAAGCAUGGCAGAUGUGUCACCUAAAUUCAAAUGUCCUCCCCCAUUUCCUUGGCAGUUCCAGCCCUUAACAUGCUUCAGAUCUCUGCUAUAAAAGUUAUCAUCUCCUGAAACUCCUGGCAGUGACACCAGAAGAUUCUAGUUAGUCUUCAUUCUCAUUUUUCUUUUCCCCCAGACUUCCAAACACUAAGUUAUCACUUGACAAUUUUUGCCAAUGUACUUACCUUUGUAUUUCUCUUACUCUCCCCCCACCCCAAAUUAGUGUCUUUCCAACCUAUUCCAUAAACUGGGAGCUCCUCUGGUGUACAGGCCAGGACUCCUUCCUCCUGAACCCUCAUGGGUGCUUCCUGAUUAUUGACUAUCAGGAAGUCCCACCUAAGAGCUAACCCUCUGGCUACUGGGUGGUUGGGGCCUAGAAAUAUGAUAAGGCUUUGGCCUGCUGCCAACUUACUGGAUGGUCCCCAAGGGCAAUUUGGGGAUGUGAAGGGGAAAAUGACUCCUAUUACAAUGUAUUUCCAAGUGCCCUAGAGUAGAAACCAUGCUUCUCACUGCAUUCAGGGCCACUGUCUACCUCUUUCUUGCUCUUAGCAUCCUGGCCUGCCAAGGCUACAGUACUAGUAAGACCUACUGCAUAAUGAGGAACAUCACUCAAGGGCUGUUCCAUCCAGAGACAUGUGGCAGAGAAGUGGCUGGACAAGGGAUCCUGAAGGUGAGCAAAGGUCAGACAUGAGCCAAAUGUCUAGCUCCAUCUCUGCUGCAGAGACAGAGAUAGGCUGUUUCUUUAGGGCUAAUGAACAACAAGUUGGAGCCAUGACUGGGGGCUGGAGUUGGGGGGCUGUAGAGCAGAGUUUAUAGGCACUUGCAUUUUCUUAACGGCUCCCUCCUCACACAUUCCUCUGCAUUUUUCCCUUUUAUUAAUGUGGCAUCUUUCCCAGGCCACUUUAUGGGCCCGUGUGUGUUUUCACUUAUGCCCUGAUUGAGUUUGAUCGUGUCUCUGCCUAUGAAGAACCCUUAGAUCUUGCUUGAGGACUCCCCACCCCCACCCCCACGUUCCCCUGCAAGGACUCCAGCACUGCAUCUCAACAGAACCUCAGGGACUCUCCCGUCUUUUCCACCACACUGGGCACUUCUCUACAAAGGGUCACACCUCAUCUGGACCCCAAAUAAGGUGACCCAGUUUGAUGACUCACCUAAAUCUCAAAUGACUCCUGGAACUUGCCCAACAAUCAAAUCUGCCACAGAGGAUGAAAAGGAAGAUUUGCCACAACUGAAGAUUUUCAAAGGAAUGUGCUGUGAGCCUGAAGGCCGUUGCCAAAGAGCAGUUCUGAAAAUAUUUUGAGCAAUCACAGCUCUGAGAGAACAUAGCUUUCCAAGGGAACUGCCUUCAAAGGCACAGCAUGCGUUUUUGGAGAGUCAAGCUUCGGCGUGUUUAUUAAAAAAGACGCUCAUGUUGCUUUCAGGAACUCUGCUCUCAGCCUUUCUCUCUUCUGCUCAGUUCCAAGAGGGCAGGACAGAGGUUUGCAGCUCACUUGCUCUCUUUGGGCCCUGUUACCCUCUAUCUGUCUCCUGUUAUCUGGAGGUUGCUCCGUUUCAGUUUCACUGGGACAUAAGUGGAAAGCUUGGUGACAGCCCUGUGAUUUUUGAAAAAUAUACCCUCUGGGAGCUGCAGUUUUUUUUCUCUGUAAAAUAAGGAAAAGUCAUACACAUGGGCUGGGGAUAUCACUCAGUUGGUAGAGUGCUUGUCUUGCAGGCACAAGACCCUGGGUUGAAUCCCCAGCAUCACCAAAAAAAAUAAAAGAAAGAAAAGUCAUAUACAUUCUGCAGGGUGGUGAGAAUUAAAUCUGUAAGAGGCUUGGCAUGCUGGGGGUCAUCAGUAAAUACUAGG